rnacentral:snRNA from 1 species
GUGCUUGUUUUGGCAGCACAUAUAUUAAAAUUGUAAUGAUAUAGAGACUAUUAGCAUGGCCCCUGCACAAGGAUAACACUCAAAAAUAGUACUAAUAAUCCAGUGUU